AUAGUACAUUACCUAUUCCUACUUACCCCAUUGCCAUCACAGGUUCCUACCAUUUUUGCUUUUUUAAAAAAAUGUUUUUUUUUUCAGUUUUAUUGAGAUAUAUUUGGCAUACCCAAGCCUUUUUUUUUUUUUUUUUUUUUUUUUUUUUUUAAGUAAACUCUACAUCCAUUGUGGGGCUCGACCCAGGAUCCUGAGACUAAGAGUCACACGCUCCAUCAACUGAGCCAGGCCAGUGCCCUCAUUUUUGCUUCUUAAUCAUGGAGGAUUAGCUGAAAGAGUCAGAUGUGGAAGAAAGGAAUGAGGGGGGAGGUAUCUAGCUAUGAAUGGGUUAAAGUUUGUAUUCUCUCUAAUAUUGCCCUCAGGUAAACCUGACUAGUCCACUAGUUAAUCAAGCAAGAAAAUAUCUUCAAUAUCUUGAGCUAUUAAUAUUUGUGCUAUUCUUUUUCCCACUCCCUUUGCUCCUCCCUUAGGAAGAGGAUCCACAUUGUUUCAAGAAUAUGAGAGGUAUGGUAAGAAUGUAAAGGCCAAGGAACAAUCAAUAUGCCCCUUUUGAGGACUCAGCAGGGAAAAGCCAUGUCUUCACUGGCAAAAUCGCAGUACAAGACGACCCAUUCAGAUCCGCCCUCGACGUACAGCACAGCCUACUUACCAGCCUCAAAGGAACGCCAGGCAGUUAGUGAAAUGCAGAGCAUCAAGGGGCCUUCCAAGGUUUCUUGAUAUUUGUAUCUUCACACCAUCCUAAGGAUCUCAUACAGCACUAGUAGCCUUGACUGAAUGGGACUGUAUCAUUUUUUGGUUACUUCCAUGAAUACCAUGCUAAUGAUUUGCAGAUGCUUAUAUUUCUCUUCUAAGGAUCAACAUAUCUGUUUAAAAAACCGUGCUAUAAACUGAGGGUAUUGACUGUCAAUCAUUCCUCCAGGGUAAUUGGAGGCAAAGACGCCAGGAGUGCCUGGAUGGCUCAGUUGGUCAAGCAUCUGACACUUUUUUUUUUUUAAGAGAGGGAGAGAGGAGAAGGGAGGGGCAGAGGAAAAGAGAGAGAGAGAAUCUUAGCAGGCUUCAUACCCAGCAUGAGCCCAAUGCCGGGCUUAAUCUCACAACCCUGAGAUCAUGACCUGAGCCAAAAGCAACCGUGCUGACUGAGCCACCCAGGUGCCCCAAGUGUGCAGCUCUUGAUCUUGGCUCACGUCUUGAUUUGAGCUCAGGUCUUGAUCUCAGGGUCGGGAGUUCAGGCCUCUCCCACACCCCAAAAAAGGGAAGCGAUGACACCAGAGUCUUUUGAAGGCAGAUGAAAAUUUUUUCUCCACAUUAAACAGGUUUACAUUUCAAAGAGUUGUUCCUAAAUCUUAAACCCCUUUCAGUUCAGCUUUGAGACUAUGGGAUCCUAUGGAAAGCAAAUGCAACCUUUGUUUACCGAGUAAAGGGCAGUUGUCAUUUCUCUACUGUUGCUAGCUUUACUCUGCUGCUGAAAAAAAAAAUCCAAGAGAGUGCCAGGGAUUUGUCUUAUAAAGCACAGUAGAAGGGGCGCUUGGUUGGGUCAGUUGGAAGAACAUGUGACUCUUGAUCUUGGGGUCAUGAGUUUAAGCCCCAUGUUGGAUAUAGAGCUUACUUUAAAAAAAAAGUAUGGUAGAGAAAGAGAAAGUGGCUUUUUGUAAUAUUAUGAGGAUAUUUGGCUAUUAUUUUUCUUUUAAAAAAUAUUUUAUUUUUAAGUAAUCUUCAUACCCAAUGAGGGUAUACAAACCCAAAAUCAAGAGUUACAUGAUCCACUGACUGAGCCAGGCAGCCGCCCCAGCUAGUAUUUUUCUUAAAAAUUUAAAAAAACUUUUUCUUAACAAGCUAAGUAUAGGACAUAAUAGACAAAUAGAUUUUUAAAAAUAUUUUAUUUAUUUAUUCAUGAGAGACAGAAAAAUGAUGUAGCAGAGAGAUUGGAGAAGGCUGAGUAAUAUUCAUGAGUAUGGGAAGGAAAGGGUCAAAGCAGAGGGCUGGGCUUCCAUAGGACCCUUGGUGAUUCAUCUGUAAUAGCAGGCAGGAAGCCAGAGGCUGGGUUCAGAAAUGGAUAGAUAGAUGUGGGGAGUGGGCAGUCUGUGGACUUUCUCUGCUCAUUACGUCAAUAAUCACGGUGACCUCGGAAAGAAGGGAGGAGGUGUUGGAGGUUUGAGGAGGGAGGAAUGGAUGUGAGAUUAUUGGCUGGAGCACUGCGGGAGAAAUGAACCUGGGUAAGUAUCCUAUGAUUGCCAAGGGCAUUAAAAGUCCACUUGAGGUUUGUGGUCAUGGAUUUAAAAUAAAAUCAGGCAGUGUGAUGCCAAAAGAGUUUGGCUGGGCGGGUGGAGAUGUACUCAACAUCUCCAGCAUGGAGAUGGAAUUAUUAUAGGCAGCAUGUUGGAAUUAUCACCAGGAUUGUGGUUUAACUCGGAGAAUAUUAGGAAGGGAGAGGACAAGCUUCUGAGCUUCUGUGUGCAAGGCAGAGGGUACAGUGCUUGAUCAUAGAAUGUAAACAGAUACGGAGGAGAGAGGUCAUCGAGUCACUGGGGAUAUUGUAUUAGGACUGACUCAGAUUUGUUUUAAGAAGACAAGAAUCUGACUUCUCAAACACAGAUAUACACCACAUGUAUGUAUGGUCCAAUCAUAGGUUCUCAGAAAAUCCUUAAGAUUAAAACAAUGCCGGGAUGCCUGGGUGGCUCAGUGGUGGAGGGUCUGCCUUUGGCUCAGGGCAUGAUCCCAGGAUCCUGGAUGAGACCCAAAUUGGGCUCCCUGUGGGGGGCCUGCUUUUCCCUCUGACUGUGUCUCUGCCUUUCUCUCUCUGUGUCUCUUAUGAAUAAAUAAAUAAAUCUUAAAAAAAAAAGAAAUGCUUCUUUCUUUCUUUUUUUUGAAGUGCUUAUUUCUUAAAAAAAAUUAAAACAAUGCCU
rnacentral:lncRNA from 1 species